rnacentral:rRNA from 1 species
GAUGAACGCUGGCGGCGUGCUUAACACAUGCAAGUCGAACGGUGAACGAGGGAGCUUGCUUCCCCCGGAUCAGUGGCGAACGGGUGAGUAACACGUGCACAAUCUGCCCUGGACUCUGGCAUAAGCGUUGUAAACGACGUCUAAUACCGGAUACGAGACGCGAAGGCAUCUUCAGUGUCUGGAAAGAAUUUGGGUCCAGGAUGAGCUCGCGGCCUGUCAGGUGGUUGGUGUGGUAACGGCUCACCAAGCCUACGACGGGUAGCCGGCCUGAGAGGGUGACCGGCCACACUGGGACUGAGACACGGCCCAGAGUACUACGGGAGACAGCAGUGGGGAAUAUUGCACAAUGGGCGCAAGCCGGAUGCAGCAACGCCGCGUGAGGGACGACGGCCUUCGGUUUGUAAACCUCUUUUAGCAGGGAAGAAGCGAAAGUGACGGUACCUGCAGAAAAAGCACCGGCUAACUACGUGCCAGCCGCCGCCGUAAAAC